ACAAAUGUUUUAUUAUUUAAUUUGUACAUAAAAUUUCAUCAGUAUGUAGAAAGUGUUCAGUGAUGCCACCAAGAGAUGUCGUUAUUUUUUAAAAAAAGUUUCUAGAACACUACUUAAAUUUAUAUAACACUAGAAAGAAGGUUCCAGAUUUGGGAUACAAAACAUCACUGAUUCCUUUGAUAUUCUAUGCAUAUAUAUGUUCACACCUUUUAAAAAAUGUUUUCUUUUCUUACCCACUUACUUUCUAGUUCACCAGUCAAAAAUGCUACUCAUUCUCGCAGUGGCUCAUGCCGGUAAUCCCAGCACUUUCAGAGGCUAAGGCAGAUGAAUCACCUGAGGUCAGGAGUUUGAGACCAGCCUGGCCAACAUUUUGAAACCCCCUCUCUACUAAAAAUACAAAAAUUACCCAGGCAUGGUGGUGCGCUGCAGUAGUCUCAGCUGCUCAGGAGGCUGAGGCAGGAGGAUUGCUUGAACCUGAGGUUGCAGUGAGCCAAGAUGGCACCACUGUACUCCAGCCUGGGUGACAGAGAAAGACUCUGCCUCAAAAAAAAAAAAAAAAAAAUUGCUCUCUCUAGAAAACUGUCUCUCUUCGCCUCAUCUCCCCAAACACAAAAUGACUCACACUCCCUCUGUGAUGAUACAGCCUUUGGUUUGGAAUUCUCUACUAAAAGUCUUCAAAUUGUCUUGGGUUAUAAUUAACUAUACAUGUGUCUCUCUCCUUAUGGGACUAUAAGGGCAGGGCUAUCUUGCAAUCACCUAUUUUUUCGCAAAUAAUAAAGUAUAUUGGAUUAUUGAUGGUCUUUAAAUAUGUGUUGAAAUAAAAUGAAUUGACUUUUUUUGGCAAUGAUUUGUUCUUUAGGCUUUAUAAGGUGCCACUCUUAAAUAUCUUGCUCACAUCACUGCACUUGAAGAAGAAGUGCCCUGAAGCCAUGUGGGAAGCAUGUGUGGCAGACUCUUGGCUCUAGACCAUGAUCACAGCUCAUACUUUGUGUUUUAACAAGCUGAUAUACCACCCACCAGUUAAUAAUUACACUCUAAUUUUCUGAUGCUAUGUAAUUGAUAAUAAGAAACUCUAAGAGUCCAAACAUGCUAUCCUUUAUUAGAAAAAGAUUCAUUGCAAACUGUUUUUCAAAGUUAUUAAACCAAAUGCUAUGAUGUCUGGAAUUUUCUUAAUAAUAAGCUAGUGGGGCAGGGGAAGAAGGAGCUUAAAUGAAAUGAGAAUAGUCAUGAGCCGAUUAUUGCUAUACUUAGGUGCUGAAUACACUGGGGCUCAUUUUACAAUUCCCACCAGUUUGUGUAUGUUCAAAAGUUUCCAAUAAAAAUUAAUAAUAGCAAUUAAACUAAAAAGUAGAAUAUUUUGAAUUCUUCCUUUGCCUUUAGCGUGUAUAUACACACUAAAGGCAAAGGAAGAAUUCUAUAUAUAAUUAUAUUUAUAUGUAAUAUAAUUAUAUAUCAUAUUUAUUAAAAUUAUAUAUAAUUAUUUUAUAUGUACAAAUAUUAAACAGGCCUAUCCACAGGAAAAUAGAAGGUUGGAUAGAUAGGCAAAACAUUUUUCUUCUUUUUCUUUUUUUUGUUUUUGGAGAAGGAGUCUCCUCUGUCACCCAAGCUGGAGUGCAGUCAUGCAAUCUUGGCUCACUGCGACCUCCGCCUCCUGGAUUCAAGUGAUUUUCCUGCCUCAGCCUCCCAAGUAAUUGGGAUUACAGGUGCACAUCACCAAGCCCAGCUAAUUUUUGUAGUUUUUUUAGUAGAGACAGGGUUUCACCACAUUGGCCAGGCUGGUCUCGAACUCCUGACCUUAAAGUGAUCUGCCCACCCAGGCCUCCCAAAGUACUGGGAUUACAGGUGUGAGCCCCCAUGCC
rnacentral:lncRNA from 1 species